UAUUAAUUAAUCAAAUAUUAAUUCAAUAUUAAUAAUAAAAUUAAUUCCCAAUUUUCAUACAAACCCAAAAAAUCAACUCACAUUCACUGAUUCCCUCUGCCUCAUUUUCUCCUCAACGUUCCCUCUACUACCUUCCUUACAUCUCGCGUCGGAACCAUUGUCUUCCUCUCGUUCAGCGUGAAAGCACCUCGCACACAGUUGUCUCUUAUUUCUUGGAUCUGGUUUGAAACCAGUGGGAAAGUAGUGGUAGCGACGGCAACUGGUUUGUGAGAGUUUUUGUGGGUGUAGUGGUUGUGGUAUAGUGGAGAUGGUGGUGGUGGUGACGAUGGUCGUUGGUGCAGGUGGCGAUCUAUGGUGUGCAUUUGUUGAUCUUUGUGAGUUUUGUGUAUAGAAGUCGAUUAUGUGUGGUUGUGAUGGUGUUGGUGGUUCGUUGGAGUAGUAGUCGUGCUAACAGAGAUGGUGAGGUGGGGGUAAUGCAACUGGCGAUUCUUGGAAUAGUGAUGAUGCUUUUCAUUGUCGCUCUUCGUCGAUGGUGCACGGCUCUGAUUUGGGUAGAUCUAGAUCUAGAUUUUUAUUUAUUUAUUUUAUUUUUAUUUUUUUUGUGGAGUUGGAUGGUGGUGGUUGAUGUUGGCUAAGAUUGUGGUGGUGGUAGUGCGGUGGUUGUGGUGGCAUGCCAUUCAAAAUCCUAAUUUUUUGGGUGUGAUUUUAGUUGGUGAGUGGGGAAGGUGGUGGUGGUGGUGCUCGUGAGGCGGUGUUUAGGUGACGAUAGCUGUGUUGGAUCCAAUGGUGGCGGUGGUAUGUUGGAUCUAGUGGUGGCAGCGGUGGUGGCGAUAAUGUUAGUUGUUGUAUUUGAGAUAAUGGUUUUUUUUUUUUACUCGAAUUAUGGAUGAUUGUGGUUGUGGUUGUGGAUUAAUGGUGGUGGCCACAAAUUAUUUGGUUGUCUGUGACCAUUAAAAUGGUUAAUCUGUGACCAAUAAACAAUAUGUGACUAAUAAAAAGAUAACUUGUGACCAAAAAAUAAUAUGUAAACUAAAAAAUUGUUCAUCUGUAACCGAUAAUUUGACAAUUUAUGACUUGUAUAAUAGUUGUGAUUUAUAAUAUUUAUAAUUUGUG
rnacentral:lncRNA from 1 species